UUGAUUCAUUUAUUUUUUUUACUCAGAUGAUUUUACAAAAACAAGAGUUUAGGGGGCCACCGGCCGGUCUGCUCCCUAUUCCGAAAAAUAGGGGACCUCACGAGGGAAGCCAACCUGCGCCGAGGCAACAUUUUUUAGGUACUGUUCACAAAGGGUUUCUGGGUAGCACCCGUGAGGGCGUUUGUUCCAGCAAUGAUCCCUCCGCUGGUUCACCAACGGAGA
rnacentral:misc_RNA from 1 species